GUGAAUCAUCGAAUCUUUGAACGCACAUUGCACUCCUUGGUAUUCCGAGGAGUAUGCCUGUUUCAGUAUCAUGAGCACUCUCACACCUAACCUUUGGGUUUUGUUGUGGAAUUGGGAUGCGCCGAUUUCAAUAGUCGGCACUCCUAAAAUGUAGUUCUUGGCUGUUUCCUACUACAGCAGUUUGGCCUAAUAGUUUUGACUUUUGUCAAAUCUUUGGCUACAUUUGCUUCUGGAAAUCAGUCUUGAUAAUACAGAAAACUCAUUCAAACUUUGAUCUGAAAUCAGGUAGGGCUACCCGCUGAACUUAAGCAUAUCAAUAAGCGGAGGAAAAGA
rnacentral:rRNA from 2 species